CUUCGUACUGAUCAGAAAUGUUGAACAUGAUCCCCUGCACAAGAAAACAUGCCAUUUUUAUGGGAGAAACAUGAAAAUGAGAACAUUUUACCUACAAGAUCUCCUGCGCAGCUGGAAAAUAGGGUGUCAUCAUCUGUCACAAAAGACUGCCAUAGAUCUACAGACUGAGAAACAAAUGCAGAAGGGUUUUAUCAGGAUAAUUUUACAUUUUGGAUGGCUGUACAGAAGAACGUCUUGAGCUGAAUAAGGAACUGCUGGAUCAUCUUCUCUCACUGUGGUAUGGGGAAAACUAGAUUGGGCUCAGGCUGCUUCUCUGAGAGACUAGGAGAGGUCUCUGCCAGUUUGUGAGUUUGUACACCGUGACAAAAGAAAACUUCAAAAGGAAUUAAUGUUGAUCCCACUUUGGAACAACCAAGGCUCCAGAGGAGAACCAUUUACUGGAAAGAGCACUCCCAGAUCUAGCUCCAAAAUCAUUAAGAGCUUAGAUCAUAGAGUGGUUCUUAAACUCCAUUGCAUGUUUUCCCUCCAUAUGUGUUUCUUAAUUGCUAAUCUCCUGAAUCUUUUGAGGUUCCACCUAUGGCGGGCAGUCCUCCAGGAAUGCUUCAGUGUGGGUCUCUUUCCACACGAUCCAGUCCUUCAGGAACAGACUGUUCCGGUGUGAAUUCCCUGCAGAGUCGCAAGUCCUGCCAGCAAACCUUCUCCAGUGUGGUC